GUGUUGUGUGAAAAGAGAGAGGGUUAGCACUCCCUUUGACAAGACUGGAAGAAGCCCUCAGGCCUAACAACAUGUGUACAGUUAAGACAUUGCUGCCUGCUUUGUAGCAUCUAACCACUGUUUUAU
ensembl:snRNA